rnacentral:rRNA from 1 species
AGUCGUACGAGAAAGUCUCUUCGGAGGCGAGUAAAGUGGCGCACGGGUGAGUAACGCGUGGGUAAUCUGCCCUUAGGUUUGGGAUAACCCCGGGAAACCGGAGCUAAUACCGAAUAAGACUACGAUGACUCCGGUCAAUGUGGAAAAACAUGGCCUCUUCUUGAAAGCUAUGGCCAAUGGAUGAGCCCGCGUUUGAUUAGCUUGUUGGUGAGGUAACGGCUCACCAAGGCUCCGAUCAAUAGCUGGUCUGAGAAGACGAUCAGCCACACUGGAACUGAGACACGGUCCAGACUCCUACGGGAGGCAGCAGUCGGGAAUAUUGGGCAAUGGGCGAAAGCCUGACCCAGCAACGCCGCGUGAAGGAUGAAGGCCUUCGGGUCGUAAACUUCUGUCGAGAGGGAAGAAUGCGUGCAGGUGAAUAAUCUGUACGUUUGACGGUACCUCCAAAGGAAGGACCGGCUAACUCCGUGCCAGCAGCCGCGGUAAUACGGAGGGUCCAAGCGUUGUUCGGAUUUAUUGGGCGUAAAGCGAGUGUAGGCGGUUUGACAAGUCGGAUGUGAAAUCCCGGGGCCCAACCCCGGAACUGCAUCCGAUACUGUUAGGCUAGAGUCCCGGAGAGGGUGGCGGAAUUCCCGGUGUAGGGGUGGAAUCCGUAGAUAUCGGGAGGAACACCAGUGGCGAAGGCGGCCACCUGGACGGUGACUGACGCUGAGACUCGAAAGCGUGGGUAGCAAACAGGAUUAGAUACCCUGGUAGUCCACGCCGU